AGAGUUUGAUCCUGGCUCAGGACGAACGCUGGCGGCGUGCCUAAUACAUGCAAGUCGAGCGGACAGAUGGGAGCUUGCUCCCUGAUGUUAGCGGCGGACGGGUGAGUAACACGUGGGUAACCUGCCUGUAAGACUGGGAUAACUCCGGGAAACCGGGGCUAAUACCGGAUGGUUGUUUGAACCGCAUGGUUCAAACAUAAAAGGUGGCUUCGGCUACCACUUACAGAUGGACCCGCGGCGCAUUAGCUAGUUGGUGAGGUAACGGCUCACCAAGGCGACGAUGCGUAGCCGACCUGAGAGGGUGAUCGGCCACACUGGGACUGAGACACGGCCCAGACUCCUACGGGAGGCAGCAGUAGGGAAUCUUCCGCAAUGGACGAAAGUCUGACGGAGCAACGCCGCGUGAGUGAUGAAGGUUUUCGGAUCGUAAAGCUCUGUUGUUAGGGAAGAACAAGUACCGUUCGAAUAGGGCGGUACCUUGACGGUACCUAACCAGAAAGCCACGGCUAACUACGUGCCAGCAGCCGCGGUAAUACGUAGGUGGCAAGCGUUGUCCGGAAUUAUUGGGCGUAAAGGGCUCGCAGGCGGUUUCUUAAGUCUGAUGUGAAAGCCCCCGGCUCAACCGGGGAGGGUCAUUGGAAACUGGGGAACUUGAGUGCAGAAGAGGAGAGUGGAAUUCCACGUGUAGCGGUGAAAUGCGUAGAGAUGUGGAGGAACACCAGUGGCGAAGGCGACUCUCUGGUCUGUAACUGACGCUGAGGAGCGAGAGCGUGGGGAGCGAACAGGAUUAGAUACCCUGGUAGUCCACGCCGUAAACGAUGAGUGCUAAGUGUUAGGGGGUUUCCGCCCCUUAGUGCUGCAGCUAACGCAUUAAGCACUCCGCCUGGGGAGUACGGUCGCAAGACUGAAACUCAAAGGAAUUGACGGGGGCCCGCACAAGCGGUGGAGCAUGUGGUUUAAUUCGAAGCAACGCGAAGAACCUUACCAGGUCUUGACAUCCUCUGACAAUCCUAGAGAUAGGACGUCCCCUUCGGGGGCAGAGUGACAGGUGGUGCAUGGUUGUCGUCAGCUCGUGUCGUGAGAUGUUGGGUUAAGUCCCGCAACGAGCGCAACCCUUGAUCUUAGUUGCCAGCAUUCAGUUGGGCACUCUAAGGUGACUGCCGGUGACAAACCGGAGGAAGGUGGGGAUGACGUCAAAUCAUCAUGCCCCUUAUGACCUGGGCUACACACGUGCUACAAUGGACAGAACAAAGGGCAGCGAAACCGCGAGGUUAAGCCAAUCCCACAAAUCUGUUCUCAGUUCGGAUCGCAGUCUGCAACUCGACUGCGUGAAGCUGGAAUCGCUAGUAAUCGCGGAUCAGCAUGACGCGGUGAAUACGUUCCCGGGCCUUGUACACACCGCCCGUCACACCACGAGAGUUUGUAACACCCGAAGUCGGUGAGGUAACCUUUUAGGAGCCAGCCGCCGAAGGUGGGACAGAUGAUUGGGGUGAAGUCGUAACAAGGUAGCCGUAUCGGAAGGUGCGGCUG
rnacentral:rRNA from 1 species